GGUUAAGCGACUAAGCGUACACGGUGGAUGCCCUGGCAGUCAGAGGCGAUGAAGGACGUGCUAAUCUGCGAAAAGCGUCGGUAAGGUGAUAUGAACCGUUACAGCCGGCGAUGUCCGAAUGGGGAAACCCAGUGUGAUUCGUCACACUAUCGUUAACUGAAUACAUAGGUUAACGAGGCGAACCGGGGGAACUGAAACAUCUAAGUACCCCGAGGAAAAGAAAUCAACCGAGAUUCCCCCAGUAGCGGCGAGCGAACGGGGAGCAGCCCAGAGUCUGAAUCAGCUUGUGUGUUAGUGGAACGGUCUGGAAAGUCCGACGGUACAGGGUGAUAGUCCCGUACACCAAAAUGCACAGGUUGUGAACUCGAAGAGUAGGGCGGGACACGUGGUAUCCUGUCUGAAUAUGGGGGGACCAUCCUCCAAGGCUAAAUACUCCUGACUGACCGAUAGUGAACCAGUACCGUGAGGGAAAGGCGAAAAGAACCCCGGCGAGGGGAGUGAAAAAGAACCUGAAACCGUGUACGUACAAGCAGUGGGAGCACCUUAGGGUGUGACUGCGUACCUUUUGUAUAAUGGGUCAGCGACUUAUAUUCUGUAGCAAGGUUAACCGUAUAGGGGAGCCGCAGGGAAACCGAGUCUUAACUGGGCGUUAAGUUGCAGGGUAUAGACCCGAAACCCGGUGAUCUAGCCAUGGGCAGGUUGAAGGUUGGGUAACACUAACUGGAGGACCGAACCGACUAAUGUUGAAAAAUUAGCGGAUGACUUGUGGCUGGGGGUGAAAGGCCAAUCAAACCGGGAGAUAGCUGGUUCUCCCCGAAAGCUAUUUAGGUAGCGCCUCGUGAACUCAUCUUCGGGGGUAGAGCACUGUUUCGGCUAGGGGGUCAUCCCGACUUACCAACCCGAUGCAAACUACGAAUACCGAAGAAUGUUAUCACGGGAGACACACGGCGGGUGCUAACGUCCGUCGUGAAGAGGGAAACAACCCAGACCGCCAGCUAAGGUCCCAAAGUCAUGGUUAAGUGGGAAACGAUGUGGGAAGGCACAGACAGCCAGGAUGUUGGCUUAGAAGCAGCCAUCAUUUAAAGAAAGCGUAAUAGCUCACUGGUCGAGUCGGCCUGCGCGGAAGAUGUAACGGGGCUAAACCAUGCACCGAAGCUGCGGCAGCGACACUAUGUGUUGUUGGGUAGGGGAGCGUUCUGUAAGCCUGCGAAGGUGUGCUGUGAGGCAUGCUGGAGGUAUCAGAAGUGCGAAUGCUGACAUAAGUAACGAUAAAGCGGGUGAAAAGCCCGCUCGCCGGAAGACCAAGGGUUCCUGUCCAACGUUAAUCGGGGCAGGGUGAGUCGACCCCUAAGGCGAGGCCGAAAGGCGUAGUCGAUGGGAAACAGGUUAAUAUUCCUGUACUUGGUGUUACUGCGAAGGGGGGACGGAGAAGGCUAUGUUAGCCGGGCGACGGUUGUCCCGGUUUAAGCAUGUAGGCUGGUUAUCCAGGCAAAUCCGGAUAAUCAAGGCUGAGGUGUGAUGACGAGGCACUACGGUGCUGAAGUAACAAAUGCCCUGCUUCCAGGAAAAGCCUCUAAGCAUCAGGUAACAUCAAAUCGUACCCCAAACCGACACAGGUGGUCAGGUAGAGAAUACCAAGGCGCUUGAGAGAACUCGGGUGAAGGAACUAGGCAAAAUGGUGCCGUAACUUCGGGAGAAGGCACGCUGGUGUGUAGGUGAAGUCCCUGCGGAUGGAGCUGAGACCAGUCGAAGAUACCAGCUGGCUGCAACUGUUUAUUAAAAACACAGCACUGUGCAAACACGAAAGUGGACGUAUACGGUGUGACGCCUGCCCGGUGCCGGAAGGUUAAUUGAUGGGGUUAUCCGUAAGGAGAAGCUCUUGAUCGAAGCCCCGGUAAACGGCGGCCGUAACUAUAACGGUCCUAAGGUAGCGAAAUUCCUUGUCGGGUAAGUUCCGACCUGCACGAAUGGCGUAAUGAUGGCCAGGCUGUCUCCACCCGAGACUCAGUGAAAUUGAACUCGCUGUGAAGAUGCAGUGUACCCGCGGCAAGACGGAAAGACCCCGUGAACCUUUACUAUAGCUUGACACUGAACAUUGAGCCUUGAUGUGUAGGAUAGGUGGGAGGCUUUGAAGCGUGGACGCCAGUCUGCGUGGAGCCAACCUUGAAAUACCACCCUUUAAUGUUUGAUGUUCUAACGUUGGCCCCUGACCGGGGUUGCGGACAGUGUCUGGUGGGUAGUUUGACUGGGGCGGUCUCCUCCCAAAGCGUAACGGAGGAGCACGAAGGUUAGCUAAUCCUGGUCGGACAUCAGGAGGUUAGUGCAAUGGCAUAAGCUAGCUUGACUGCGAGCGUGACGGCGCGAGCAGGUGCGAAAGCAGGUCAUAGUGAUCCGGUGGUUCUGAAUGGAAGGGCCAUCGCUCAACGGAUAAAAGGUACUCCGGGGAUAACAGGCUGAUACCGCCCAAGAGUUCAUAUCGACGGCGGUGUUUGGCACCUCGAUGUCGGCUCAUCACAUCCUGGGGCUGAAGUAGGUCCCAAGGGUAUGGCUGUUCGCCAUUUAAAGUGGUACGCGAGCUGGGUUUAGAACGUCGUGAGACAGUUCGGUCCCUAUCUGCCGUGGGCGCUGGAGAAUUGAGGGGGGCUGCUCCUAGUACGAGAGGACCGGAGUGGACGCAUCACUGGUGUUCGGGUUGUCAUGCCAAUGGCACUGCCCGGUAGCUAAAUGCGGAAGAGAUAAGUGCUGAAAGCAUCUAAGCACGAAACUUGCCCCGAGAUGAGUUCUCCCUGAGACUAUAAGUCUCCUGAAGGAACGUUGAAGACGACGACGUUGAUAGGCCGGGUGUGUAAGCGCAGCGAUGCGUUGAGCUAACCGGUACUAAUGAACCGUGAGGCUUAACCUU
rnacentral:rRNA from 1 species